rnacentral:rRNA from 1 species
CCUGCCCAUUGAAUAAUUUAAAAGGCCGCAGUAUAUUAACUGUGCAAAGGUAGCAUAAUCAUUAGUUUUUUAAUUAAAGGCUUGUAUGAAGGGCUGGACAAAGAAAAAUCUGUUUCUAUUUUUAUAUUUGAAUUUAACUUUUAAGUGAAAAGGCUUAAAUAAAUUUAAGGGACGAUAAGACCCUAUAAAUCUUUAUAUUAAAUUAUUUUUAUUUUAUUAAUACCGUAGAUAUAAUGAUAAAGUAAUAAAUAUUAUGUUGGGGUGAUAAGAAUAUAAAAAAUUAACUGUUCUAAGAUUAAAACAAAAUUAUUUGAAAAAAAAAUAAUAGAUCCUUUAUAAAGAUUAAAAGUUUAAGUUACUUUAGGGAUAACAGCGUUAUUUUUUUUGAGAGUUCUUAUCGAAAAAAAAGUUUGCGACCUCGAUGUUGAAUUAAAUUUUCUUUGUGGUGUAGUUAUUACAAAAGAGAGUCUGUUCGACUUUU